rnacentral:rRNA from 1 species
GGGGAAUAUUGGACAAUGGGGGCAACCCUGAUCCAGCCAUGCCGCGUGAGUGAUGAAGGCCUUAGGGUUGUAAAGCUCUUUCGCUAGGGAAGAUAAUGACGGUACCUAGAGAAGAAGCCCCGGCUAACUUCGUGCCAGCAGCCGCGGCAAUACGAAGGGGGCUAGCGUUGUUCGGAAUUACUGGGCGUAAAGCGCACGUAGGCGGACAUUUAAGUCAGGGGUGAAAUCCCAGGGCUCAACCCUGGAACUGCCUUUGAUACUGGGUGUCUUGAGUACGAGAGAGGUGAGUGGAAUUCCGAGUGUAGAGGUGAAAUUCGUAGAUAUUCGGAAGAACACCAGUGGCGAAGGCGGCUCACUGGCUCGUAACUGACGCUGAGGUGCGAAAGCGUGGGGAGCAAAC